CUGAAACUGGGGCAGAAGUUAUCAGAAGUUUGUUUAAUUUCAGGGUGGACUCUUGCUUCACUGUGAGGCAGUCCUUUAACACUGACCUGCUUGAGGUCAUUUCAGAAAAAGCAAGAACAGAAAUAACAUUACAUACUUCAUCUUUACAGAUUUCUGGACCAAAACAUAUGUGAUGACAGAGUUUCUCUGUAUAGCCUUGGCUGUCCUGGACUGGCUUUGUAGAUCACAGUGGCCCUGAAAUCACAGAGAUCCGCCUGCCUCUACCUCUCCGAGUGCUGGGAUUCCAACCGUGUGCCACCUCAACAGGAUCACAUUGAGCUUUGAAGAGAAAGACCAAGAAGAAAAAGAGGAAGAGGAGGAGGAAGUAGAGGAGAAGAAGGAGGAGAAAGAAGAAGGAGAAGGAGAAGGAAGGAAGGAAGGAAGGAAGGAAGGAAGGAAGGAAGGAAGGAGAAAAGGAAGAAAGGUUCUUUCAGGUGAAAAUACCUGAUGUGAUGCCAGGAAGCCAGAUGCUUCUGACGGAUUUUCCCCCUAGUCUCCUUCCGUUGCCUGCUGGCUUGAGCCCCUGCUUUGAACCAGCAUUCCAGAUUCCCAUUUUCUCAAGCCCCAAGUCAGGAAGCAGCUGCAGAAGCGACCAUGUCAUCCCUUAACACCAACAAAAGGCUGGAAUGUUAGGUCUCAGAAGUACAUACAUCUAGAGACGGAGGAGCUAGCUGCUCAAAGGAGCUCAAAGGAUCACCGCCUUGGAGUUGGUCGCUGGAGACCAUAGUUUGCAAGCCAGUUCUUCGCUUGGCUGGACUUGCUGGGCAAGUUCGGUGCUCACCAGUUUUGCAGGAUCAUCUGGGCUGACGAGGUGCAGGCCAUUUUGAAGCAAUUUGUUGGAUGCUGUUGAUUCCUGGGCAGGGCCACAUACAGACUGGGGACAGAAGGUAUUAGCGUGGUCACUUCUACGCUGAAGUCCUCAUUGUAAAAAGAAAAAGCAGUUAACAACUGUCUGUAAACAGAUGGAGUCAUAGUGAAAAAAUAAAAACCUGAAGAGCUAUCAACACGA